UUUACCAGCUUAUAAAACAAAGGAGGAGAAGGAAGGGGAAUACCAUAGGAUCAUGAUGGCAUACCAGAGAGCUACUUUUGAACUGUGUUCCAGCUUAAGGACUUGAUAAGAAAGCCAACUAAAAUAGGAUUGCUUUGGGAAGGGUAAAAACUACUGAAGCCAGAGAGUCUCCAACAUUUCCACCUAUGUUCCUGUAAAGCAGAACUUCAGCAUGUCGAUGUUCCGGCUCCCUGUGGGGUGUGGAGCCCAACGCCGCAGGACCUGAACUCACGACCCUGAGAUCAAGACCUGAGCUGAGAUCAAGAGUCAGAUGCUUAAUUGACUGAGCCACCCCGGUGCCCCAUUUUUAAAAAAACAUUCUCUUGUCUUCCCAUGGAAGGUGUCUAUAAACAGAAUUUUCGAAAAUAGAUCCUGAAGAUCAUGUA